rnacentral:lncRNA from 1 species
ACACCAACUCUGGCCAUCCCAACACACCACGUGGGAUAUAAAACACCCACCCAGCCCUACACAUCACAUAGUGUCCGUACAACACUUAUCAGAAAUUAAUGAACUAUCAAUGCCGCCGUUUGACCAAACGAACAAUCUCAAGAACCUGAACGGAGAAACAAAAUUAAUGAACUAUCAAUGCCGCCGUUUGACCAAACAAAAAAGGGAGGAGGGAAAAAAAGAAAGAAAGCAACAUUGGAGAUGGGAAGUGAAACGUGAAACUGGGAAAUGAAGUUUUUGGAAAGAGAAAGUAAAAUUAAAAUAAAAAUAAAAUAAAAUAAAAUAAAAACCCCAACACGAUAUCCCUUAAUCCCUCAAAUUAAGCCAUUAUUUCAAAUUCAAACCAACUCCAACUAACCACUAAACCCCCAAAACAGACCCACGCACUCAUCCACUUCCACAGAGUUUUAAUUCCACCUAACUUCUACUACACAACCGGCAC